rnacentral:rRNA from 1 species
UACAGAGGUCCCAAGCGUUGUUCGGAUUCACUGGGCGUAAAGGGUGCGUAGGUGGUUGGGCAAGUCUGAUGUGAAAUCUCCGGGCUUAACCCGGAAAUGGCAUUGGAAACUGCCUGGCUAGAGUGUUGGAGGGGGGGACUGGAAAUUCUCGGUGUAGCAGUGAAAUGCGUAGAUAUCGAGAGGAACACCAGUGGCGAAGGCGAGUCCCUGGACAACGACUGACACUGAGGCACGAAAGCUAGGGGAGCAAACAGG